CAGUGCUUAUUAAGUACUCUGUUUCACAUGCUAAUUAUUAACUUGGGUUAUCUUCAUAAUGACUUAAAAAGAAGAUUUUAUUAGCUUCAUUUUACAGAUGAAGAAAAUGAGGAACAGAGUGGCUGAUAACUUGUCAAUCAUCACACACCGGUAAAAACUGUUAGACAUGAACCCCAACAAGGUGAUUAUAGAGCCUCGUGAAUGCUCAAUGCCUAUGAAGAUUUUGUUAAAUAAGAGAAUGACUGGAGGUUAAAAAUAGAGGCAAUGAUCUGAGUGACAGAAUAAUUUGUAGGUGACAAUCUUCAGAAGAAAUCCUUCCAAACCAGUGAACUCAAUAUAGAAUAGAAUGGGAGCCAAAUUUCAUGUUUAACAAAAGAGGGUAAGAAAUUUUAAAACUUUUAUUCUAAACAUAUUAUUAAUCUUUAAAGUUGAACAGGGUAAGAAUUAUUACACACAGACACAUCUCUCUCUCUACAUGUAUACCUUCAAUUAUACCUUCAACUUUUUAGCCACAAUAUAAAUACCUACUUUAAGGUUUUUUUGUACCAGGGAUCGAACUUUGGUCUUUGCACUUGCAAGGCACACGACGGAACCACUGAGCUAAAUCCCCGCCCCUGUUUUAAAUUCUUAUUAAAGUAAAACCUAAACAAAUGUAAUUCAUCUUCCAUCUUUUUUUUUUUUUUUGGUACUGGGGAUUGAACUUGGGACCUUGUGCUUCCGAGGCAGGCAGCAGAACCGCUAAGCUAAAUCCCCAGACCCCCAUCUUCUAUCUUAACAAAACUAUAUUCACUUUACCAAAAGAAUUACUCAUGUCCAGACAAAAAGUCACCAGGUCAGAAAAUUACACACUUUUGGGGCU